rnacentral:rRNA from 1 species
UGCCCGAUAGUGGGGGAUAACCUGGGGAAACCCAGGCUAAUACCGCAUACGUCCUACGGGAGAAAGGGGGCUCCGGCUCCCGCUAUGGGAUGAGCCUAUGUCGGAUUAGCUAGUUGGUGAGGUAACGGCUCACCAAGGCGACGAUCCGUAGCUGGUCUGAGAGGAUGAUCAGCCACAUCGGGACUGAGACACGGCCCGAACUCCUACGGGAGGCAGCAGUGGGGAAUAUUGGACAAUGGGGGAAAGCCUGAUCCAGCCAUGCCGCGUGUGUGAAGAAGGCCCUCGGGUUGUAAAGCACUUUCAGCGAGGAAGAACGCCUAGCGGUUAAUACCCGCUAGGAAAGACAUCACUCGCAGAAGAAGCACCGGCUAACUCCGUGCCAGCAGCCGCGGUAAUACGGAGGGUGCAAGCGUUAAUCGGAAUUACUGGGCGUAAAGCGCGCGUAGGUGGCUUGAUAAGCCGGUUGUGAAAGCCCCGGGCUCAACCUGGGAACGGCAUCCGGAACUGUCAAGCUAGAGUGCAGGAGAGGAAGGUAGAAUUCCCGGUGUAGCGGUGAAAUGCGUAGAGAUCGGGAGGAAUACCAGUGGCGAAGGCGGCCUUCUGGACUGACACUGACACUGAGGUGCGAAAGCGUGGGUAGCAAACAGGAUUAGAUACCCUGGUAGUCCACGCCGUAAACGAUGUCGACCAGCCGUUGGGUGCCUAGCGCACUUUGUGGCGAAGUUAACGCGAUAAGUCGACCGCCUGGGGAGUACGGCCGCAAGGUUAAAACUCAAAUGAAUUGACGGGGGCCCGCACAAGCGGUGGAGCAUGUGGUUUAAUUCGAUGCAACGCGAAGAACCUUACCUACUCUUGACAUCCUGCGAAUUUGGUAGAGAUACCUUAGUGCCUU